AUGAGAACAAUAAUAAUAAUAAACAUAAAUUAUAAGAAGUUAGUAUCAACUCAAUGAAAUUCAUAUAAGUUAUAUCGUUACACAAUAAGUUCACUUAAAUAGAUAUAAUAUAACUAUUACGUGAUUGGGUGAUAGUUGUAUACGUAACACUAUAAGAAGUAUAGCUUGAUAAGCAAAAGUAUAUGUAUGCUAUAACACAUCAAUAUAAUUAUAUUGUUAUACUAUAAUUCACGUAAAUGACUAUAAUCAAAACAUUAAUUAAGCAAGUAAUAGUUGUAUAAGUAAUCCAAGUAUAGUUUCGUAAGUAAUGACCUUAUAACAAUGUAGCUAGUAUAAAAAUUUAAUGGUUAGCAUUUAUGCUCAUUACAUUAUAAAGAUUCAAGAUAAUUUUUCAAGUAUAUAUUCAUAUGAUUGGUUUAUUUGUUUUAUGAUAUGAAUAUUUGUUAUUCCCUAUUAAUUUAUGAUAAAUGAGACUAUGAGAUAAUUGACACGAGAAUAGGAACAUUGUGUAUGAGAUUUGGGUUUAAGUUUUGGAGUAUAGGGUUAGCUGUUUGGGAUAAUAAUUCAUUAAUUUAGUAGGAUUAUUUCUUUUCUUAAGGAAAAAUCCAAUACCAACUAAGGAGAAAACCUAAACCGUUAGAUCAUAAAAAUCAAUGGCACAUAAAAUUACUUAAUUGAAUAAUAGUUUGAUAGUUGUAUAAAUAAUGCUAUAAGGAGUCGAAUAAAAAUUUAGAAACUCAAAUCACAAUUUUAAUCUAAUAAUAAUAGUUAUACUAUGCUAAUUAAUAAAUAUAAUUAUACUUAAAUAAUACUAAUAACAACUUCAAUAAAGAUAAUUAAAAUUUAAAAUUAUAAUGAAAUAGUAAUAAUUAACUAAUUACUAAAGACCGUAAGACUAAACCAACAUAAGAACUAUUAAGAUGAUAAGAAUAUAAGAUUAUCAAUCCAUGUGCUAGGUCAUCAAUCCAUGUGCUAGGUUAUUCUAUUUUUCUAUUGGCUAAAAAAUGAUAUCAUGGAUCAUGAAUUAGAACCAUUGAUAUGAGAAGGAUUAAAAUCUAACCAUUAAUUGUGUAUUGAAAUAUAAAAGAGGGGAAAAAAGGGAUCUAAUCUCAUCCGUUGAUGAUUUCGAUCAAACGAAUGAGAUUGAAUUUAAAAAACCCUAACAUUCUUAGGUAUAAAGAAGCACCCACAUUUUUCAUCGAUCUCCCAUCUGGCCAUCUCCCUCGACGGCACAACCGUCCUCUCCUUCCUCUAUCUACUUUCUCAGAUCCUCUCUCACAGCCACCAUUUUUAUGUAUUUUGCCACAUACGGGUUCAGUCCUCCAAGACCGGUUAUAGCUCAUCAACAACCGUCGUCAACAACCGCACGCCAACCUCUCCUUCCUCUAUCUCUAUCACAUUAGGAUCAGGCCUCAGAAGUAAUGAUGCUGAUCUGUCAAAACUGAGCGGAGUGAUAAAACUAGAGUAUAGAAUUGCUUUAAGAUCUUCACUUAGAGAAGAUUUCACUGAAGGUGUCCGUGUUGUCUUGGUUGACAAGGAUCAGGAGGACGUGAAAAUGGAAUAUGGUAGGAGGACGAAUCGACGGAAGGAAUCGGAAACGAAGAGUUGAUUUCAGAGGAAGGAGAUGUGGAGUUGAUGAGAGUGAGAAUGUCGAAAGAUUUUUAGCGUUUAUUUUUAAUUUAGUUUAUUAAAAUUCUGAAUUAUUCAGCGUUUAAUUGUAAUUUUAAUAAACUCUAACUAAAUUUUGUCUAUUUUUUCUUUGAGGGGAGAUUUUGUCUAUUUUUAAUUUAGUUUGUUCAUCGUUGUAAAUUAUUUCUUAAUUUAGCUUGUUAAUAUAUUUUUUUUAGAUUUUUAA